rnacentral:rRNA from 1 species
GAGUUUGAUCCUGGCUCAGAUUGAACGCUGGCGGCAUGCCUUACACAUGCAAGUCGAACGGCAGCACGGGAGCUUGCUCCUGGUGGCGAGUGGCGAACGGGUGAGUAAUGCAUCGGAACGUAUCCUGGAUGGGGGAUAACGUAGCGAAGUUACGCUAAUACCGCGUAUUCUGUGAGCAGGAAAGCGGGGGACCUUCGGGCCUCGCGCUCUUGGAGCGGCCGAUGUCGGAUUAGCUAGUUGGUGAGGUAAAGGCUCACCAAGGCGACGAUCCGUAGCAGGUCUGAGAGGAUGAUCUGCCACACUGGAACUGAGACACGGUCCAGGACUCCUA